CCUACGGGAGGCAGCAGUGGGGAAUUUUCCGCAAUGGGCGAAAGCCUACGGGAGGCAGCAGCCGCGUGGAGGCGGAAGGCCUAUGGGUCGUCAACUUCUUUUCUCGGAGAAGAAACAAUGACGGUAUCUGAGGAAUAAGCAUCUGCUAACUCUGAGGCAGCAGCCGCGGUAA
rnacentral:rRNA from 1 species